UGGGGAAUAUUGCACAAUGGGCGCAAGCCUGAUGCAGCCAUGCCGCGUGUAUGAAGAAGGCCUUCGGGUUGUAAAGUACUUUCAGCGGGGAGGAAGGGAGUAAAGUUAAUACCGUUGCUCAUUGACGUUACCCGCAGAAGAAGCACCGGCUAACUCCGUGCCAGCAGCCGCGGUAAUACGGAGGGUGCAAGCGUUAAUCGGAAUUACUGGGCGUAAAGCGCACGCAGGCGGUUUGUUAAGUCAGAUGUGAAAUCCCCGGGCUCAACCUGAGAACUGCAUCUGAUACUGGCAAGCUUGAGUCUGGUAGAGGGGGGUAGAAUUCCAUGUGUAGCGGUGAAAUGCGUAGAUAUGUGGAGGAAUACCGGUGGCGAAGGCGGCCCCCUGGACAAAGACUGACGCUCAGGUGCGAAAGCGAGGGGAGCAAACAGG
rnacentral:rRNA from 1 species